rnacentral:rRNA from 1 species
GAUGAACGCUAGCUACAGGCUUAACACAUGCAAGUCGAGGGGCAGCGCAGUGUAGCAAUACAUGGGCGGCGACCGGCGCACGGGUGCGUAACGCGUAUCCAACCUUCCCGUUACUCAGGGAUAGCCUUCCGAAAGGGAGAUUAAUACCUGAUGGUGUUUUGAAUUCCGCAUGUUAUUCAAACUAAAGAUUAAUCGGUAACGGAUGGGGAUGCGUGACAUUAGAUAGUAGGCGGGGUAACGGCCCACCUAGUCUACGAUGUCUAGGGGUUCUGAGAGGAAGGUCCCCCACACUGGAACUGAGACACGGUCCAGACUCCUACGGGAGGCAGCAGUGAGGAAUAUUGGUCAAUGGUCGGAAGACUGAACCAGCCAAGUAGCGUGAAGGAAGACUGCCCUAUGGGUUGUAAACUUCUUUUAUACGGGAACAAACCCCGGUACGUGUACCGGAUUGCGUGUACCGUAUGAAUAAGCAUCGGCUAACUCCGUG